rnacentral:rRNA from 1 species
GCAGCCGCGGUAAUUCCAGCUCCAAUAGCGUAUAUUAAAGUUGUUGCAGUUAAAAAGCUCGUAGUUGAAUUUCGGGGUCAGCAGGUUGGUCGUGCCAUUGGUACGUACUGGUCUCGCUGAUUCCUCCUUUCUGAAGAACUGUAAUGCCAUUAAUUUGGUGUUGCAGGGAAACAGGGCUGUUACUUUGAAAAAAUUAGAGUGUUUAAAGCAGGCUAACGCUUGAAUACAUUAGCAUGGAGUAAUGAAAUAGGACGUUUGAUCCUAUUUUGUUGGUUUCUAGGAUUGACGUAAUGAUUAAUAGGGAUAGUUGGG